UAGGGAAUCUUCGGCAAUGGACGGAAGUCUGACCGAGCAACGCCGCGUGAGUGAAGAAGGUUUUCGGAUCGUAAAGCUCUGUUGUAAGAGAAGAACGAGUGUGAGAGUGGAAAGUUCACACUGUGACGGUAUCUUACCAGAAAGGGACGGCUAACUACGUGCCAGCAGCCGCGGUAAUACGUAGGUCCCGAGCGUUGUCCGGAUUUAUUGGGCGUAAAGCGAGCGCAGGCGGUUAGAUAAGUCUGAAGUUAAAGGCUGUGGCUUAACCAUAGUACGCUUUGGAAACUGUUUAACUUGAGUGCAAGAGGGGAGAGUGGAAUUCCAUGUGUAGCGGUGAAAUGCGUAGAUAUAUGGAGGAACACCGGUGGCGAAAGCGGCUCUCUGGCUUGUAACUGACGCUGAGGCUCGAAAGCGUGGGGAGCAAACAGGAUUAGAUACCCUGGUAGUCCACGCCGUAAACGAUGAGUGCUAGGUGUUAGACCCUUUCCGGGGUUUAGUGCCGUAGCUAACGCAUUAAGCACUCCGCCUGGGGAGUACGACCACAAGGUUG
rnacentral:rRNA from 1 species